AUGUGCUCAAACCACCGUAGGUGGUGUGUCCGUGACACAGCGGAUCUGCGGCUUGGUGGGUGCUGCCAUCCUUUCUCCAUCUCAAAUGGGAAGACCCGAAGGGCAGCUGCCAGAACUCAGCUGCUGGAGGCCAUCGCUCAGACCAUAUGUGGCCCAAUACCCCAGCUGUUCUCUCUAAUAAGUUCUCCACUCAAAGAGAAUAAGAUUCCCAGGAUGAUUGUGCUUUCCCAUCCUAGAGAAGCAAGAAUAUGGUUAAGGAUGCGCGGGGGGUGGGGGGGUGCAGUGCUGAGAAGUCCUCUGCUGGGCAGGCACAGUGUGAGCAGCAGAAAGAUAAGGAUAAGUAGGCUAACCUGAAAUAAGUCAGGUGUGCAAAGAAGCAGGACAACACAAACAGAAUGUCCAGAAAGUCAAAAUCUGCUUCUGACCAUGGAUAAGCCUCUACAGAAGUGGGCACCUUUGUGACCAAAAGGGCAGAAAAUGAAAGCAAAAAAUGAGCAACGACAUGAGAGAUGCUCUCCAGGGUGGCUGUAGGUUCCCUCUCCUCGUUUUGUACUUUAAAGACAAAGUUUAGGGGCACCUGGGUGGCUCAGUUGUUGAGCGUCUGCCUUUGGCUCAGGGAGUGAUCCUGGGGUCCUGGGAUCGAGUUCUGAAUUGGGUUCCCCAUAGGGAGCCUGCUUCUCUCUCUGCCUAUGUCUCUGCCUCUCUCUCUCUGUGUCUCUCAUGAGUAAAUAAAUAAAAUCUUUAAAAAAUGUUUAGAGAAGAAAAUUUGCUUAGAGAAAUUUAACUUGUCAAAUUCCCAAUUUGGGUGAAUUUGUUGGGUAAAUAUUAGAGAGAUAUUAAUUGCUUAAAGCAAUAUCAAUUACUCAAUAGAUUUAGAAGGUUAAUGAAUGGGACAUGAAACCAAGUUCACAUACUAGUGAGGAUUUCUUUCUACCAGUGAAGGCCCUUGUACUUUCAAGAAUUUAAUAAAUAACCUCUCCUACCCCUACUUCCAUAAGCUUGUCUGUAGUGACACUGCCGCCCUCUAGGGGGCUCAGGCUGUUCCUUGUGACUUCUUCCCUCACUGCUCCCACCACUUCACCACUUCCUGUCUUCCCCCUUCAAUGUCUUCCCCUGCACCCUCGCUGGCACCUUCUCUAAGGCCUAAAUGAGCUCAAACCUACUCCAUUAAAAUAACCAGUCUUGUCUUGACCCCAUGCACUCCUCACAGCUUAACUCCUCUUCCUCACCUCUCAUUCCCUCCCCUGCCAGACUGUCCAGCAUCUCUCCAUCUCCCCUUUCCACUAAUAACCAAUUAGUUGCUAAAUCUAAUGGACACUCCAGCUCCCCAGCUGGAUUUCUCUGUAGCAUUUGACAUGUGCAGCCUCUCCCUUCUUGGAAAUGUCUGCUUUCAGUCCCCUUCCUACCUCUUUGAUGGUUUCUUCCCUAUCUUCUAGGAUGGCUCUUCUUCCUCCUAUCACCUCCCCCCAUGUCAGUGCUCCCCAAAGUUGGUGUUUCCUGAGCUAUCUUCUCCUUACACUCUGCACACUUUUGUAAUUUGGUCCUCUGCCAAGUUGCCCUAUCUUAGUCAAUCACAUCCCUAUCCACCCAUUGCUCAAGCCAGAAACCCAGAGUAAUUGCAAAACUUCCACCUUAUCUGGCCAACCAUCAAGGAGCUAUCCAUUGGCUUCCAUAUAGCUGAUGAUCUUUCUACAGCCCAAAUCGGAGCCUAUCACUCCUUGCUAAUGUUCAAAUCUCAUAGCUCUAAUUUCCAGGUUCUUUCUUCCUCUUCAUUCCCUCCAGUGAUGCAGUAGACUACAUGUAGACUGUGGAUGAUUAUCACAGGGCAUGGCACACAUUAGAUGCUCAAUAAAUGUUUGUUGAAUGAAUGUACACGCUGAAAGGUAUAGGUAAGAAGAUGGGAAAAAGAAAUACCAUGCAGUUCUCAAUGGUCAAACUUAUAACAAUCUGAGCAAAAAAUAAAGUAGUAUUGGAUUAUAACCCAAGGUAUAAAAUAAAUAUCCAUGAGUCUAUAUUGAUAUAUUUAAUAUAUAUUUAAAUGAUUGACUAAAUUAAUAAAUGAGGGGAAGAGAUAAAUCUAAGCAGAAGAAUUCUAAAUAAUAUACAUUGAUAUUCCGCCCUCAAGUGGGGGGAGUAUAACUCCCCACUCUUCAAGUGUAGGAAGUGCAUAGUGAUUCUCUUCAAAAAGACUACAGUUUGGGAAGUGUGUCAGGGGGAAGCACAUAACUUUAUAAUGGGUAACUGGGCAAAUGCUACCUCAGCCAGUGAGCAAGGUCCACAUCAUUAGUCAUUAAUUAUGUUGAUAGUAUGUAUACUUGAUAUGAUGGGAUGAAUAUGGGACUCUAUGAUCUUCCUUCCUAAAACUCAUGACCUCAAUCUAAUCAUGAGAGAAGAAUCAGGGGUGCCUGGGUGGCUCAGUGAGUUAACCAUCUGCCUUCAGCUCAGGUCAUGAUCCCAGGGUCCUAGGUCGGGCUCCCUGCUGAGUGGGGAGUCUUCUUCUUUCUCUCCCUCUGCCACUCCCUUGCUUCCCCUUCUUGUGCUCUCUCUCUCAAAUAAAUACAAUCUGUUUUUUUAAAUGAGAGAAGCAUCAGACAGAUUCCCAUACAGCAGUGUGAUAGUUAGGUCUAUGUGUCAACUUUACUAGUCUAUAGUGCUCCAUCAUUCAAUCAAACACCAAUCUAGGUGUUUCUGUGAAGGUAUUUGUAUAUAUGAUUAACAUCUGCAAUCUGUUGACUUUAAGUAAAGAACAAUAUGGAUGGUCCUCUCCAAUCAGUUGAAAGACCUUAAGAACAAAAGUAAGGGCUCCCUGAUGGAGAACUUCUACCUGUGGACUGCAGUGUCAGCACCUGCCCUACAGACUUUGAACUUGCCUAACCAGCCCCCUCAAUUGAGUAAGCCAAUUUCUUGGCAAUAAAGCAGUAAAUAAAAUAUACCAAAUAUUUAUAGUUAAAUAUCUCUAUGUGUAUAUUAGUAUAUAAACAUUUAUCUAUAAAUAUCUAAA
rnacentral:lncRNA from 1 species